rnacentral:rRNA from 1 species
AGUCAAUAGAUACCCCGGGUAGUCCACGCCGUAAACGAUGAUGACUAGCUGUCCGGGCACUUAGUGCUUGGGUGGCGCAGCUAACGCGUUAAGUCAUCCGCCUGGGGAGUACGGCCGCAAGGUUAAAACUCAAAGAAAUUGACGGGGGCCUGCACAAGCGGUGGAGCAUGUGGUUUAAUUCGAAGCAACGCGCAGAACCUUACCAGCGUUUGACAUGGUAGGACGGUUUCCAGAGAUGGAUUCCUUCCCUUACGGGACCUACACACAGGUGCUGCAUGGCUGUCGUCAGCUCGUGUCGUGA